GACAGAGGGUGCAAACGUUGUUCGGAAUUACUGGGCGUAAAGAGCUCGUAGGUGGUUUGUCGCGUUGUCCGUGAAAACUCACAACUCAAUUGUGGGCGUGCGGGCGAUACGGGCAGACUGGAGUACUGCAGGGGAGACUGGAAUUCCUGGUGUAGCGGUGGAAUGCGCAGAUAUCAGGAGGAACACCGGUGGCGAAGGCGGGUCUCUGGACCGAUACUGACGCUGAGGCGCGAAAGCGUGGGGAGCAAACAGG
rnacentral:rRNA from 1 species